CUUUACUAUGCCACAGCCAAGGAAGGUGCAUCUCCAACAGGUGUUGGCAUGUUUACCAUUUCCAGGUCAUCGUCUGCUAUUUGCUUCCUUUGGUUACAAUUAUUUUAAUUAUCGGCACAGAAAUACUACUUAUCGGCACAGUAACGAAUGGUGUUAUUUUGAUAGAUUUCUUCUUUUCUGUUUAUGUGGAGGGUAUAGUCCAGAUAUAGUGUCAUUGCCAGGUAUAGCCUAGUAUAGAUUUCUGCCUUCCAAAGUACUUAUAUACAUUUAAAAUAACAUUUCUAGCUUAACUGCACAAGAUUUCUCCUUGCUUACAAACAACUGUGUAAUCAACCAUUACUCCUAAAUACUAAUA
rnacentral:lncRNA from 1 species